CGGCGCAGCUUACACAUGCAGUCGAGCGCACUCUUCGGAGUGAGCGGCGGACGGGUUAGUAACGCGUGGGAACGUGCCCUUCUCUAAGGAAUAGCCACUGGAAACGGUGAGUAAUACCUUAUACGCCCUUCGGGGGAAAGAUUUAUCGGAGAAGGAUCGGCCCGCGUUAGAUUAGAUAGUUGGUGGGGUAAUGGCCUACCAAGUCUACGAUCUAUAGCUGGUUUUAGAGGAUGAUCAGCAACACUGGGACUGAGACACGGCCCAGACUCCUACGGGAGGCAGCAGUGGGGAAUCUUGGACAAUGGGCGCAAGCCUGAUCCAGCCAUGCCGCGUGAGUGAUGAAGGCCUUAGGGUCGUAAAGCUCUUUCGCCAGAGAUGAUAAUGACAGUAUCUGGUAAAGAAACCCCGGCUAACUCCGUGCCAGCAGCCGCGGUAAUACGGAGGGGGUUAGCGUUGUUCGGAAUUACUGGGCGUAAAGCGCACGUAGGCGGAUCAGAAAGUAUAGGGUGAAAUCCCAGGGCUCAACCCUGGAACUGCCUUGUAAACUCCUGGUCUUGAGUUCGAGAGAGGUGAGUGGAAUUCCGAGUGUAGAGGUGAAAUUCGUAGAUAU
rnacentral:rRNA from 1 species